GUACACUCCUGCGGGAGGCAGCAGUAGGGAAUCUUCCACAAUGGGUGCGAACCUGAUGGAGCAAUGCCGCGUGAGUGAAGAAGGUCUUCGGAUCGUAAAGCUCUGUUGUUAGAGAAGAACACGUGCUAGGUAACUACUAGCGCCUUGACGGUAUCUAACCAGAAAGUCACGGCUAACUACGUGCCAGCAGCCGCGGUAAUACGUAGGUGACAAGCGUUGUCCGGAUUUAUUGGGCGUAAAGGGAGCGCAGGCGGUCUGUUUAGUCUAAUGUGAAAGCCCACGGCUUAACCGUGGAACGGCAUUGGAAACUGACAGACUUGAAUGUAGAAGAGGAAAAUGGAAUUCCAAGUGUAGCGGAGGAAUGCGUAGAUAUUUGGAGGAACACCAGUGGCGAAGGCGAUUUUCUGGUCUAACAUUGACGCUGAGGCUCGAAAGCGUGGGGAGCGAACAGGAUUAGAAACCCGUGUAGUCCCAUGA
rnacentral:rRNA from 1 species